GAGCUGUUAGGCUGCCGCUCAUCUAGGGUUCGGCUUAGAGUUGCUUAAAACUCGGGCCACUUGCUCAAGCUCGGUCCUCUUAAUAUGGGCUAGAGCUAUGAUUUUUCAGCUUAGCAGGUCGGGCUAGGCUUAAAAAUAGUGCCUGAAUUUUCAAACUGGCCAGGCUCGAAUUUAUAUUGACCCGACCCGGAUUAACUUUAAAAGGGAUCUUAUAGCCCAC
rnacentral:lncRNA from 1 species